UACAGAGGGGGCAAGCGUUGUUCGGAAUUACUGGGCGUAAAGGGCGCGUAGGUGGCCUGUUAAGUCGAACGUGAAAUCCCCGGGCUCAACCCGGGAACUGCGUCCGAGACUGGCAGGCUCGAAUCCGGGAGAGGGAUGUGGAAUUCCAGGUGUAGCGGUGAAAUGCGUAGAUAUCUGGAGGAACACCGGUGGCGAAGGCGGCAUCCUGGACCGGUAUUGACGCUGAGGCGCGAAAGCCAGGGGAGCAAACGGG
rnacentral:rRNA from 1 species